AGAGUUUGAUCCUGGCUCAGGACGGAACGCUGGGCGGCGUGCCUAAUACAUGCAAGUAGAACGCUGAAGACUUUAGCUUGCUAGAGUUGGAAGAGUUGCGAACGGGUGAGUAACGCGUAGGUAACCUGCCUACUAGCGGGGGAUAACUAUUGGAAACGAUAGCUAAUACCCGCAUAAUAGUGUUUAACACAUGUUAGAGACUUGAAAGAUGCAAUUGCAUCACUAGUAGAUGGACCUGCGUUGUAUUAGCUAGGUUGGUGGGGUAACGGCCUACCAAGGCGCACGAAUACAUAGCCGACCUGAGAGGGUGAUCGGCCACACUGGGACUGAGACACGGCCCAGACUCUACGGGAGGCAGCAGUAGGGAAUCUUCGGCAAUGGGGGCAACCCUGACCGAGCAACGCCGCGUGAGUGAAGAAGGUUUUCGGAUCGUAAAGCUCUGUUGUAAGAGAAGAACGUGUGUGAGAGUGGAAAGUUCACACAGUGACGGUAACUUACCAGAAAGGGACGGCUAAUACGUGCCAGCAGCCGCGGUAAU
rnacentral:rRNA from 1 species